CUAUUCAUGCACCCCUGAAGAAGUGCAGCUGCACUUCCAAUCUUGUGGGACAGUAAAUAGGAUCACUAUUCGUACAGACAAAUAUGGCCAACCAAAGGGUUAUGCAUAUGUGGAAUUUGUUGAGCCAGAGGCUGUUCAAGAGGCUCUCCUUCUGAAUGAAUCUGAAUUACAUGGCCGCCAAUUGAAGGUGACUGCAAAAAGGACCAAUGUACCAGGAAUGAAGCAGUUCCGUCCACGCCGACCUAACCCUUACAUGGGGUUUCCACCCAGGGGCUCACAUGUGCCGCCUUAUUUCCACUCUCGUUAUGGAUAUGGGAAGGUUCCAAGAUUCAGAAUGCCUAUGCGUUACAGCCCCUACAGCUGAAUGCUAUUUUGCUGGAGGCAGCAUUGCUUCCAGAUGGAAACAUCCAGCGAAAGUAUUAGUUUCCUUUUUAUUGUCAUGGAUCAUAGUGUUUUGGGGAUAUCAAUGAAGAAUGGCAACUUCAUGCGUGUGAAUUGAACAUUAUUUAAAGUUUUUGAUAGAC
rnacentral:misc_RNA from 1 species